AUUGUGAUCAUCAUGAGUUAAAAAAUCCGCACAUAUGUCGACACAUUCCUCUGGGUGCUUUUAUUAAAUCAAGCAGUUAGUUUUUGCUAAAUGCAAGAUUGAACAAAGUGGAGAAUGCGGACAUAUGGAGGCCUAACC
rnacentral:sRNA from 1 species